AUGGAGGCAAAAGCUUUGCCUCAUCCAUUAAUUAAGAUAGAAAAGAGUUUUUUACAGGACACCCAACAAACACGGCAUGCGGAUUAUUCGCGUGAAAUAAAAGACCCUAGCUUCUUUGCGCCGGCGAUGACCCAAAGGUUGGCCUCGGCAGAGAUGGAGGAGAGCAAGAUUGGCGGUGGAGCACUCUUAUGCUUAAACACUCUUGCAUUACGCUCGUUCCAAAUUGUCCAAGAGACGAGCAUAGUGAGGGAGGCCUUGGCUUGGCGGUUCGGCGUACCAUCAGCGCAGGUGCUUGCCCACCACUCGUCCACCGAGUCGAACAGGGGCCAAGCGGAAGCGUCGAGCCCGUGCAUGAGGAAUUUCUCAAUGACCAAAGACCAAAGACACCGGGUGUAG
rnacentral:rRNA from 1 species